rnacentral:rRNA from 1 species
CGGGCGGCGUGCCUAAUACAUGCAAGUCGAGCGCAAAGAUCAGGAGCUUGCUCCUGUGAUUUGAGCGGCGGACGGGUGAGUAACACGUAGGCAACCUACCCUUGAGAUUGGGAUAACUACCGGAAACGGUAGCUAAUACCGGAUACGACCUUUCCACACAAGUGGAAUUGUUAAAAGGCGGAUUUAUCUGCCACUCAUGGAUGGGCCUGCGGUGCAUUAGCUAGUUGGUGAGAUAGUAGCUCACCAAGGCGACGAUGCAUAGCCGACCUGAGAGGGUGAUCGGCCACACUGGGACUGAGACACGGCCCAGACUCCUACGGGAGGCAGCAGUAGGGAAUCUUCGGCAAUGGGGGCAACCCUGACCGAGCAACGCCGCGUGAGUGAAGAAGGUUUUCGGAUCGUAAAGCUCUGUUGUAAGUCAAGAACGGGUGUGAGAGUGGAAAGUUCACACUAUGACGGUAGCUUACCAGAAAGGGACGGCUAACUACGUGCCAGCAGCCGCGGUAAUACGUAGGUCCCGAGCGUUGUCCGGAU